GGAAGCGCCUUCAGAUUGACUAUUCCUUUCCAAGUAUCUCAUUUCCAGGUCCCCAAUAAGAUGCAUCCCGCGAGAAUCUGGAGCGCCAUCGUUAUGAUGGCCAUGCUGUUGGCAGGGCCACCACCAAUCGAAGCUGGACCAGCAGCGUACGGGAUCUGCCAGGCCGGAUGCGCUGCUGUCGUGGUAGCGUGCUACGCAGCGGGAGGUGCCGUUUUCGGCACCGUGACGGCCGGUGUCGGCAUCCCGGCCGCCAUUGUGGCCUGUAACAGCGCGUUCGGGACGUGUCAGGCAGCGUGCUGGGCAGCGCUUUUCAUUCCUAUCCCGUAGUGGCGUAGUCGGCUUAAUCCCCAGUUGUCAAGUGACAUGCUUUUGUUGCAGGUAUUAAUCUUCCAAGAAUUUCGCCUACAGUUCCAGCAUAAGCG